UACAAAACCAACAAGAACACAUCUUUAGAGUCAAGAAAGAGAGAAAGACAAAUCUAAACGAAGAACAGAAAGUAGACAGACAAAACCCCUAAUCGAAACAGAAAGUAGACAGACAACACCCCUAAUCGAUACUCUAAAAUAAACAAAACCCUAGGUCGAAACAGAAAGUAGACAUGUAACAACCAAUCAAACAAGACAGAGAG
rnacentral:lncRNA from 1 species